GCCACCACAUACGAAUAAGACUAGACCUUCUCUUUUUCUAUACGCACGUUUUUCGAACCGUUAAAUGGUGUUUUUUAAAAAAAUUUCUAUAGAAAAGUUGUUUUAAAUAAUCAUAUUAAUUUAUUUUAUAUUUUUAAUAAUUAAGAAUUAAUUAAUCAUGUACUAAUCUAUUACUAUGUUUUCCGCGUCGGAUAACUAACACCCCUUCUCCUCACUGCCGAACACAGCCUAAGAUGAUACUCCUUUUUUGUUUCAAAAUAUUCAUUUUUUAGAUUUGGAAACAGGUGUUAGUAAAAUAUGUGAAUUUUCAGCACACACGAAGUUUGUGUUUUUUAUUGAUUAAAGAUAAAAGAUUAUCUGAUUUUUAAUAGGUAUUUAAUAAUAUAAAAAGUCAAAUUGACUACUAUAAAAUUAAAAAUAUAUUCUAUAAAGGAGAGAUGGUAAACUUCUGUAUAAGAAAUUUAUUCCAAGAAAAAUAUACCGUUUAGCGGUUCGUGAAGCGCAAAUGUAAAAGCCUAGAAAUAAUUUGGACUAAAAGGACGAAGGACAUGAUUGCUUCAGAAGAGAACAUGUGCAGAAAUUAAAUGAAUAAUAUUUAUGAUUGGUUGAUACGGGGAGCAGGAGAAGAAAUAGAUUUAUUUUGGCAA
rnacentral:lncRNA from 1 species